rnacentral:tRNA from 1 species
GGGGGAUUAGCUCAGUUGGUAGAGCAGCGCUUUUACACAGCGAAGGUUCGGCGGUUCAAGCCCGUCAUCCCCUACCA